UACGUAGGGUGCAAGCGUUGUCCGGAAUUAUUGGGCGGAAAGGGCUCGUAGGCGGUCUGUCACGUCGGGAGUGAAAACUCAGGGCUUAACCCUGAGCCUGCUUCCGAUACGGGCUGACUAGAGGUAUGCAGGGGAGAACGGAAUUCCUGGUGUAGCGGUGAAAUGCGCAGAUAUCAGGAGGAACACCGGUGGCGAAGGCGGUUCUCUGGGCAUUACCUGACGCUGAGGAGCGAAAGUGUGGGGAGCGAACAGG
rnacentral:rRNA from 1 species